rnacentral:rRNA from 1 species
CUCGCUGAAGUUCUAAAGUUCUUAAAGAGGCAUGAUUGUUUUUCCAAUGCAAGUAUUGCAUAUAGAGUCUUGUUAACCAUCCAUGUGACUGUUGCAUCAGCGGAACUGAGCUUUUCUAAAUUGAAACUAUUGAAGUGUUAUAUGCGCACUACUAUGACACAACGAAUACUUACUCGUUUCGCCCCAGUAGCACUUGAGAGUGAAGUAUUGGAGAAGAUUGAUUAUGAUGAUAUUAUUGAAGAUUUUAUUUCAAAAACACUAAAACAAUGA